rnacentral:lncRNA from 1 species
AGGCUUCUGGUCUCCAGCGGCGGGGAACUCACACCUGCCGCUGUGAAAAUGCAGACCCGCGGGGCAGUAAUUCCGAGUCCAGCCUGGGGCGCGAUCUGGAAUCUUGACUCGCUUGAAACACCACGACGGAUUCGGAGACAGGUGAGUAGAGAAAUGAGCCUCAGCCCCUCCCACGGGCCGCCCACGGAUUCCAGGAUCCGGAAACUCUUCCUGCUGCUGCGUCACCCCAGGAAGGCAGCGCCCGCCUCUGGGCAGUUCUGAUGGAAACUGGCUUCGCCGCCCAGAGGAAAACCCACAACUAAGGGGCCAAGAAAAAGCCUCCAUGGUCCCGCCCUUUCAGUGAGGAUCCUAAUUUAUACCCCGAGUGUGGCCCCCAUCAAAGUCUGCAGUGACAGCCGAGCGCGGUGGCUCACGUCUGUAAUCCCGGCACUUUGGGAGACCAUGGCGGGCGGAUCACUUGAGGUCAGGAGUUCGAGACCAGCUUGGCCAACAUGGUGAAGCCCCUUCUCUACUAGAAAUACAAAAAUUAGCCGGGUGUGGUCGUAGGCGCCUGUAGUCCCAGCUACUCGGAGGCUGAGGCAGAAAAAUGGCUUGAACGCGGGAGGCGGAGCUUGCAGGGAGCCGAGAUCGCGCCACUGCACUCCAGCCUGGGCGACAGAGACUCCAUCUCACACACACACAAAAAAUGUAGAGUGACGUUCACUGAAAUGAUACUAGACCAGCGGGAGGGACCCAGAGCGCUGCGGUUCACAGAAUGCGGUGACAGCGCCGCCUCGCGUCCUUUACUUCAACUGCCCCAGGCAGACGUGGUCACGUGUGUUGGCCUGGAGGCUGGAAUACACCGGGGUCAAAUGCAGAGUGGAGAAAGGAGGGAAGGAUGGGAGGACGUGUUGAAGAAAGACAGUAAGAGCUAGCGCUAUGGUUCAUAUCUGUAAAACUAGAGUUUUCGGAGGCGAGGCAGGAGGAUCGUGUGAGACCAGGAGUUUGAGGUCGCAGUGAGCCGUGAUCACACCACUGCACUCCAGCCUGGACGACAGAGUGAGACCCUGCUUUUAUAUACUUUUCAUAUUUUCUGUAAUUAAGCAAGUUUUGUGUCCGGAAUUGGUGGGUUCUUGAUCUCACUGACUUCAAGAAUGAAACUGUGGACCCUCGCGGUGAGUGUUACAGCUCUUAAGGUGGCGCGUCUGGAGUUUGUUCCUUCUGAUGUUCGGACGUGUCCGGAGUUUUUUCCUUCUGGUGGGUUCGUGGUCUCGCUGGCUCAGGAGUGAAGCUACAGAGCUUUGCGGUCAGUGUUAUAGCUCUUAAGGCGGCACGUCUGGAGUUGUUUGUUUCUCCCGGUGGGCUUUUGGUCUUGCUGGCUUCAGGAGUGAAGCUGUAGACCUUCACAGUGAGUGUUACAGCUCAUAAAAGCACUAUGGACCCAAAGAGUGAGCAGUAGCAAGAUUUAUUGCAGAGCAAAAGAACAAAGCUUUAGCAGUGUGGAAGAGAACCCGACUGGGUUGCCACUGCUGGCUCGGGCAGCCUGCUUUUAUUCUCUUAUCUGGCCCCACCCACAUCCUGCUGAUUGGUAGAGCCGAGUGGUCUGUUUUGACAGGGUGCUGAUUGGUGCGUUUGCAAUCCCUGAGCUAGACACAAAGGUUCUCCAAGUCCCCAUCAGAUUAGUUAGAUACACAGUAUGGACACAAAGGUUCUCCAAGGCCCCACCAGAGCAGCUAGAUACAGAGUGUAGAUUGGUGCAUUCACAAACCUUGAGCUAAACACAGGGUGCUGAUUGGUGUGUUUACAAACCUUGAGCUAGAUACAGAGUGCCGAUUGGUGUAUUUACAAUCCCUGAGCUAGACAUAAAGGUUCUCCAAGGCCCCACCAGAGCAGCUAGAUAGAGUGUGGAUUGGUGCACUCACAAACCCUGAGCUAGGCACAAGGUGCUGAUUGGUGUGUUUACAAUCCCUGAGCUAGACAUAAAGACUCUCCACGUCCCCACCAGACUCAGGAGCCCAGCUGGCUUCACUUAGUGGAUCCCGCACCGGGGCUGCAGGUGGAGCUGCCUACCAGUCCCGCACGGUGCGCUUGCAUUCCUCAGCCCUUGGGUGGUCGAUGGGACUGGGCGCCGUGGAGCAGGGGGUGGUGCUCGUCGAGGAGGCUCGGGCCGCACAGGAGCCCUUGGAGUGGGUGGGAGGCUUAGGCAUGGCGGGCUGCAGGUCCCCAGCCCUGCCCCGCGGGAAGGCAGCUAAGGCUCGGUGAGAAAUCGAGCGCAGCGCUGGUGGGCUGGCACUGCUGGGGGACCCAGUACACCCUCCGCAGCUGCUGGCCCGGGUGCUAAGUCCCUCAUUGCCAGGGGCCAGCAGGGCUGGCCGGCUGCUCCGAGUGCGGGGCCCGCCAAGCCCACGCCCACCCGGAACUCCAGCUGGCCGGCAAGCGCGGCACACAGCCCCGGUUCCCGCUCGCGCCUCUCCCUCCACACCUCCCCGCAAGCUGAAGGAGAGGGCUCCGGCCUUGGCCAGCCCAGAAAGGGGCUCCCACAGUGCAGCGGUGGGCUGAAGGGCUCCUCAAGUGCCGCCAAAGUAGGAGCCCAGGCAGAGGAGGCGGGGAGAGCAAGCGAGGGCUGUGAGGACUGCCAGCACGCUGUCACCUCUCGGUUUUACUUUAUUUUAGGAUAAAAUAUCUAUUGUGAAUUUUAAAAACAUGUAAAAUAAAAUUUUAAUUAAAAAGCCUAAA